CCUACGGGAGGCAGCAGUGGGGAAUAUUGGACAAUGGGGGGAACCCUGAUCCAGCCAUGCCGCGUGUGUGAAGAAGGCCCUCGGGUUGUAAAGCACUUUCAGUGAGGAAGAACGCCUGGUGGUUAAUACCCAUCAGGAAAGACAUCACUCACAGAAGAAGCACCGGCUAACUCCGUGCCAGCAGCCGCGGUAAUACGGAGGGUGCGAGCGUUAAUCGGAAUUACUGGGCGUAAAGCGCGCGUAGGUGGCUUGAUAAGCCGGUUGUGAAAGCCCCGGGCUCAACCUGGGAACGGCAUCCGGAACUGUCAAGCUAGAGUGCAGGAGAGGAAGGUAGAAUUCCCGGUGUAGCGGUGAAAUGCGUAGAGAUCGGGAGGAAUACCAGUGGCGAAGGCGUCCUUCUGGACUGACACUGACACUGAGGUGCGAAAGCGUGGGUAGCAAACAGGAUUAGAUACCCUUGUAGUC
rnacentral:rRNA from 1 species